rnacentral:tRNA from 1 species
UAUGCAAUGAACUUAAAAUUCAUUUAUAAAGACUAAUCUUUUUUUAGAAA